rnacentral:rRNA from 1 species
AUUGAACGCUGGCGGCAGGCCUAACACAUGCAAGUCGAGCGAGCGGCGGACGGGAGAGCAAGGUAUGGGGAUCUGCCCGAGAGAGGGGGAUAACUACUGGGAACGGUUGCUACUACCGCAUACUAUCGCCUGAACCCAUAUAGGAAUAGCUAGGAGGUGGGGUAAAGGCUUACCUAGGCGACGAUCUCUAGCUGGUCGGAGAGGAUGAUCAGCCACACUGGGACUGAGACACGGCCCAGACUCCUACGGGAGGCAGCAGUGGGGAAUAUUGCACAAUGGGCGCAAGCCUGAUCCAGCCAUGCCGCGUGUAUGAAGAAGGCCUUAGGAUUGUAAAGUACUUUCAGCGGGGAGGCGUUACCCGCAGAAGAAGCACCGGCUAACUCCGUGCCAGCAGCCGCGGUAAUUC